rnacentral:rRNA from 1 species
UGCAUAUCAAUAAGCGGAGGAAAAGAAACUAACAAGGAUUCCCCUAGUAGCGGCGAGCGAAGCGGGAAGAGCUCAAAUUUAUAAUCUGGCACCUUCGGUGUCCGAGUUGUAAUCUCUAGAAAUGUUUUCCGCGUUGGACCGCACACAAGUCUGUUGGAAUACAGCGGCAUAGUGGUGAGACCCCCGUAUAUGGUGCGGACGCCCAGCGCUUUGUGAUACAUUUUCGAAGAGUCGAGUUGUUUGGGAAUGCAGCUCAAAUUGGGUGGUAAAUUCCAUCUAAAGCUAAAUAUUGGCGAGAGACCGAUAGCGAACAAGUACCGUGAGGGAAAGAUGAAAAGCACUUUGGAAAGAGAGUUAACAGUACGUGAAAUUGUUGGAAGGGAAACGCUUGAAGUCAGACUUGCUUGCCGAGCAAUCGGUUUGCAGGCCAGCAUCAGUUUUCCGGGAUGGAUAAUGGUAGAGAGAAGGUAGCAGUUUCGGCUGUGUUAUAGCUCUCUGCUGGAUACAUCUUGGGGGACUGAGGAACGCAGUGUGCCUUUGGCGGGGGUUUCGACCUCUUCACACUUAGGAUGCUGGUGGAAUGGCUUUAAACGACCCGUCUUGAAACACGG